ACCGGAUUCUUCGUGGCGGACGGACUCCACCCAAGUUUCCACGUUGAUCGACCACCUUCUAGACUUCGCCCGGACUCCUAUGGGAGCCGGACCUCAUCCCUGACUUCGGCUGCAGGCAGACUUCGUCUGGACUCCUACGAGAGCCAGACUCCGCCCACGACUUCAAUCACAGGUAGACUUCGUCCGGACUCCUACGGGAGCUGGACUUCGCCCCCGACUUCACUUGCAGGC
rnacentral:lncRNA from 1 species